GCGGCGAGAGCGCUUUCUCGCAGAGCGCGUCCACGAAUGCGCGUCCACGGUUGGCAGCUCCACGUCGACAUUCUUCCAGCUGCAGGCUGCUCUGCACGGAGGAGUAGUAAUAUGCGAAGGUAGGCUCCAGUGGCGGAAAAGCACCUCAUGAUCACUUCGCGGCGGGACACAGCAAGGCCGACGGCCGCAAAAUGAUGUGACAAAGUGCGCAUUUCGGCAAUCAGCGCUGCAGUGUUUUCAGACCAUAUUUUUCCAUUUUAUGAUCGCUUUCAUCUCGAGCUGGACUGCAGCUGGCUUCAUAGCUAACUGCUCCCCUACUUGUACCAGGCUGCUCUCUGGUGUGAUGGUGAAAGAGGCCUCAGUGGAGGAAUUCCUGCUUGCACUGCGGCUUUCCGAGUAAAGUUCUGUAAUACACUUAGACUCUUAACUGCUCGCAGUCAGUGCAUUACAGAACUUUGUUUUGGGAGUUAAUCCUCUGACUGGACGGACCCAAACCUUUCCCACAGCUGGACGGUGGGUGGGAUGAUGUCAAAAUGCACCGCUGUCACGUUUCCCUCAAGCAGAACUUUGCCCAGCUCUCACACAAUUCCAAGCAUUCAGUGAGACUUCUUAUUUGCCGUAAUAUUUUGUUAAAUUCACCCAAUAUUCUCGCAGUAUGGGAAUCGCAUGACUGUAGCCAGGUGGCAUUAUUCGGGAAAAGACAUGUUCAUUUUAUACUGAUCUCCUGUACGGAUUUUACUUUAACUUGCAUUUUGUAUGAGCCAUGUUUUAUUCAAAUAAAAAACAUUCACUUGUG